rnacentral:rRNA from 1 species
GAUGAACGCUAGCGGCAGGCCUAACACAUGCAAGUCGAGGGGCAGCACAUAAAGUGGUUUACUACUUUUGGUGGCGACCGGCGGACGGGUGCGUAACGCGUAUGCAACCUGCCUCCAACAGGGGGAUAACGGAGAGAAAUUUCCACUAAUACCCCAUAAUAUCAGAAUCGGCAUCGGUUUUGGAUGAAAACUCCGGUGGUUGGAGAGAGGCAUGCGUUGUAUUAGAUAGUUGGUGAGGUAAUGGCUCACCAAGUCAACGAUACAUAGGCGGCCUGAGAGGUUAGCCCCCCACACUGGUACUGAGACACGGACCAGACUCCUACGGGAGGCAGCAGUGAGGAAUAUUGGUCAAUGGGGGCAACCCUGAACCAGCCAUGCCGCGUGCAGGAAGACGGCUCUAUGAGUUGUAAACUGCUUUUACAAGGGGAUAAAUCGGUGUACGUGUACACCGUUGAAGGUACCUUGGGAAUAAGGAUCGGCUGACUCCGUGCCAGCCGCCGCGGUAA